rnacentral:rRNA from 1 species
GAACUUCCGUUAAUUGAUCAUGAGGUGCUUGCACUGAAUGAGAUUUUAACACGAGGUGAGUGGCGGACGGGUGAGUAACACGUGGGUAACCUGCCCAGAAGCAGGGGAUAACACCUGGAAACAGAUGCUAAUACCGUAUAACAGAGAAAACCGCCUGGUUUUCUUUUAAAAGAUGGCUCUGCUAUCACUUCUGGAUGGACCCGCGGCGCAUUAGCUAGUUGGUGAGGUAACGGCUCACCAAGGCGAUGAUGCGUAUCCAACCUGAGAGGGUAAUCGGCCACAUUGGGACUGAGACACGGCCCAGACUCCUACGGGAGGCUGCAGUAGGGAAUCUUCCACAAUGGACGCAAGUCUGAUGGAGCAACGCCGCGUGAGUGAAGAAGGGUUUCGGCUCGUAAAGCUCUGUUGUUAAAGAAGAACGUGGGUGAGAAUAACUGUUCACCCAGUGACGGUAUUUAACCAGAAAGCCACGGCUAACUACGUGCCAGCAGCCGCGGUAAUACGUAGGUGGCAAGCGUUAUCCGGAUUUAUUGGGCGUAAAGCGAGCGCAGGCGGUCUUUUAAGUCUAAUGUGAAAGCCUUCGGCUCAACCGAAGAAGUGCAUUGGAAACUGGGAGACUUGAGUGCAGAAGAGG